rnacentral:hammerhead_ribozyme from 1 species
AUCCAGCUGACGAGUCCCAAAUAGGACAAAAUGCGUGCCCUGGAU